GUCCGGGUGGCGGAAUUGGCAGACGCGCUAGCCUAAGGAGCUAGUGAGGUAAAACUCGUGGGAGUUCAACUCUCCCCUCGGACA
rnacentral:tRNA from 1 species